rnacentral:rRNA from 1 species
UCCACGCAGUAAACGUUGUACACUAGGUGUAGCGGGUAUUGACCCCUGCUGUGCCGGAGCUAACGCAUUAAGUGUACCGCCUGGGGAGUACGGUCGCAAGACUAAAACUCAAAGAAAUUGACGGGGGCCCGCACAAGCGGUGGAGCAUGUGGUUUAAUUCGACGCUCAUCAUGGCCCUUAUGGCUAGGGCUACACACGUGCUACAAUGGGGCGUACAGAGAGUUGCGAUACCGCGAGGUGGAGCUAAUCUCACAAAGCGUCUCUCAGUUCGGAUUGUUCUCUGCAACUCGAGAACAUGAAGCUGGAAUCACUAGUAAUCGUAGAUCAGCAAUGCUACGG